AAAAGUGGUAUUAAAUGAUUCAUUUCCCGAAUUGCUUACAUUGUCCAUAAAACAAAAAAUUAGCAAAAUUAAAAGAUAUGAUUAUAAAGUCUCGGUUGAACGAUAAAUCGAUUAUUUUUUGCUUAAUGACAGAGCAGAUAUCAGAAUAUGUUCCAUUACUCCCACAAUUUUUACGCUAUCAAUUAAGUGAAGUACGUAGUUCAAUUAUUUGUGUGAUACAGAACAAUAACUCUAAAUCCGAAUAACAGUUAUCAACCUCAAUAGAAGUCAUUGGAACUUUAUGAUGGAACCUAGCAACUAAAUUCUAGAUUUACAACAUGCUCUUAUGUAUAUGUCUUUAUGGUAUGUAUAUGUCUUUAACGUGUUUAAUGCAGUGUUAUUCGCAUAUUUAAUUUUUUGUUAAUAUAAUAUUUAUUUCAUACUUAAUCAAAAAAUGGUUAAAAAAUACACAAUUAGCGUACCAUGACAAGUUCAAAUUUUUCAUGGUACAAGGGCCAAAAAAUAGUAUGUGUACCGUGAAAAUGAUACGUUUGGCAGCAUUGUAUACGAUUAAAGUAUUUUUUUAAUUUUUUGUGAAAUUUUUGAGUAUUCUUUGUGACUCUCAUUUUAUUUCAUAUGGUUUUGAAAGCGAUUUAGAUUAUGACAAUUCUUUUUUCUUCUUUCUUUCAAUUUCUUUUUAAAGUCAAUUUCUUAUUCAAAAAUUUUAGACAGGAUUUAAUUUAAUAUUUAUAGAGAGUAAAUAAAAAAUUCCAGUUUUUUUCAUUUAAACUCCAUAUAAAUUUGGAAUUUUUUUUGAUUUACUCUCUAACGUUGGUGGCCUGAUUGAUAUAUAUGGCAUUAUGAGUAAGUUUUGAAAAUCAAGAAUAAAAAAAAAUAGAUGGUAAAAAUUACACAAUGGUCAUGAUAAUUUUUUAAUACCAACGUAUAAAACGUGUAUACUUCCAAAAUUAUUUUUUUUAUUUGCCUAGAUUCAGGCGUAUAAUGUAAUGUACGCGUUGAGCAUAAUUCGGUAAGUGUCGUUUAGAUAUAAUUUGUUUUCUUCUGUAAAGAAUUUAGUCAGAAUAAUUAAAUAAAUCGCACUUAUAAUUUUUUACAAUAAUUUUUAUUUGUUCCGUUUUUUCUUUUGUUUUUUUUUUCUUAUUUUUUUUUAUAAUUAUUUGAAGAGUAUUUUUGUUUCUUUUUCUAUCUUUUGUGUAUUAUGCCAAAUGAUAACAGUUGUUAGAGUUUAAAAAAAUCUAUAACUUAAAUAUUUAAUUAAAUAAAGUUUUACUUUUUACUAAAUUAUAUAGCACGUUUUUCUAUAAAUAUAAAUUUUUAUGUAUGUAGGUGUUAUGCACAUUGUAUAGAUAUUUUGCUUAAAAAAAAGUAUAUUUUAUAAAUUAACAAUUAAUAACAAAGUUAUAAAAAUCAAUUUAAAAUUUUAUUUUGUCUUUUUGUUUAUUUUCAGUCGUAUAAGAACUUUUUUAAUUUUCCAUUAAAAUAUCAAAAUGCAAAAUCCAUAUAUGUAUCUAUAUACAUACAUAUUACAUACACACAAUAUGUAUAUAAGUUCUAUAGUUAUGUACGUUAUAGUAUUUUUUUUUCUGUUUUACAGAAAAUUUAUUUAUUAUUUGAUAUUGUAUUUAUUGAACUAUAUAAUAUAUACACAUACAUACAUUUAUCGCCUAAUAUUGUUGUGUAGGUGCUUACAAUUCUAAUAAAGAUCUGGUAAGUCUUUAUAUUAGAAAUUAAUUAAGUUAGUUAUAUCGAUUCAAAUUUAUUAUCAACUGUAAUUAUCCAAAGACACAAAAUAGAAUCUUGUAAAUAUGCACUAUAUGGAUGUUGUCAAACUAGUGUUGUGUUUUCAAAAUUUAGGUACUUAGUGUCGUUUUAUUGUAUAAAAAUAUAAUUUUUCCACUUUUUACCAUAUCGUUGCCAGUUUUUACCAAUAGGCAAUAGCCAAAUAGAAAACAAAAGGUUAACGAUGAAUUGAAAAUUAACUUUUUAAUUGUGUCAAAUAUUUUUCGACAGUAUAGAAAUGUGACAUAAACAUAUUUUUGAUCGUAGAAGUCUCAAAUAUGUAAUGAAAUAAAUUUGAAGAAUAUUUUUUUUUGAUACUAAUAAAUUUUAUAUUUAUGAACAGUUGUAUAACAGUUUCGUAUAACAGAUUUUUAGCAGUAUAACAGUUUCUUCUGUAGUUUGCAUAACAUAUAUACAUACAACAAUUUAAAUAUCCUUUUAUCCUUGUGUGUAUACUUCCUUAUAUACUUCAGAUAACUAAAUAUGGAAAUUUCCUGUAUGUACAUAUGUUUUUUUGCAUAUUAUCGUAUAUGAAAGCAUAUUAAAUAUGUACAUGUAUAUUUAUUAAUAAAUAUGGAGAGUUAUAUAACAUUUUGAUAUUGUGAUAUAAUAGAAACAUAAUUUUGCAUUUUCAUAUUAUAUAGCAUAAUAACAAUUAUAUUGUAUUUUGCUCUUGAAAUUUUAUUAUUAUUAUAUUUUUAUUAUUAUUAUAUUAUAGUAUUUAUCGAUUUUAAUUUGUGUGAACAUUUUUUAAACAACCAUUUAAAUAAAUGUGUGUAUGGAUAUUUCUUUUUUCAAAAUUUUUAAAAGUAUUUCUUUUUAAUUGAGCCUAUAUAAUAGCUACAUUAAGCAUUUAUGUAUGUAUGUAUAUAUGUAAUUAAAAUUUAAAUAAUUUUAUAAUAAAAAACAUAAAAUAUUUAUUAUUAUAAUUAUUCAGUAAUCAUAUAACAAAAACGAAAAUGUUAAUUAAUAUUUGAAAUAUUUUCAAUUAAAUUUAAAAAAACAAAAUUUCAUUGGAUUUUGCAUAUUUUAGGUAUAUAAGGUUUGUAGUUUUUUUUUAUUUUUCUAAUUCUAUUUUAAUAAUUUUACUAUUUAUAACGACAUUAAUAAAUUUUUACCUAUGUUUUUUUUUUAUUAUAUAAAAUCAAGAAUUUAUAACUGCAUUUAAAUAUAAAAUAUAUAUGUAAUUGAUUUUCGAGGAUUUUUGUUUUUGUAUUUGUAAUUUAUUUUAGAGAUAAGAAAAAAACAAAAACGAAACUAAUGAAAAUCGAAAAAUUAAAUAUAGAAAAAAAAAUUUGCGACCAGACUUCUUACAAAUUUUAUGCUUUUUUUUAGUUUUUUUUUGUGUUUUUUUUUUUUUGAAUAUUUUAUAUAAAAAAUUUUUUAUUUCUUAUUAAAUUUUUUUAAGUGCAAUUUGUUUUUUUUUUUUUUUUGGUUUUUUGUUAUUAUAUUUAAAUUUUUUAUUAUGCUUUUUUUUGUUUUUUUUUUUUUGGAAUUUAUCAAUAAAAUAUUUUUGUCUUUUUUUUAUAAAUUUUUUUUGUUAUUAUUUCGUUUUUUUUAUUCGUAAUUUUCUAAAUAUUUUUUGUAUGCAAAUCGUUAACUUAAAAAAAUAUAUAAAAAGACUGCGUAAAUAUUUUUACUUUAACGUGCAGUUUUGAAUUUGUGAAAUGCUAAAAAACGUAAAAUAUAGUUAUUCUAUAUUUGUAUAUAUAGAAAAAAAGUAAAAUUAAAUAAAAUUAAAAAUAUUUAUUUAUUGUUUUUAAAUACAAGUUUUAUUUUUUUUAUCUAAAAUUUGAAUCAUUGCUAUUUUAUGUCUAUAUAUAUAUAUAAUAUUUUUUUUUAUUUUAAAUGUUGUAGAAUUGAGAUCUAAAGUACAUUAUUUUUUAUAUAAAAUGUUUUUUAUAUGUUCUUAUAGUUAAUAGUUUUUUUUUCUUCUUCUUUUAUUUAAACUGUCAAUAAUUUUUUUUUAUUUUUUUCUUUUCAGAUUUCUAUGUUUUUAUAUUCGAGCAUUAUUGAUAUGAAAAUGUAUACAGUUUAUAUUGGGAUUAAAAUGUACAGUUUACUAAUUAUAUGGGUUUCUUAAAAUGCAGAAAUAUUGUUAGGCUUCUAAAAAGGAAAGAGUGUGUUUUACCGAAAAGCGUUUGUGACAUUUUGAUCAUAUUAUGGUUUGUUAAUUUUGAGUGUGGUAACACCGUUUGUUAUGUAUAUUGGCUAUUAAUAUAUAAUUUAUUAAUAUAUUAUUUUUUUUAGAUAAAAGAUCGAAAGCAAAAUAGAUUAUGAAAGGAGUUCAACAAUACAAAUAUACUGUUGUCAAUUUUUAUUUGUUUUUAGAACAACAUCGGAAUGAUAAAAUUAACAGUUUAGUAUUUUGCACAUAAUGUCAUACACGCCUCGAAACAAAUGAUGUAGGAAAAAAUAGGAUUUUAUUGAUUUUAGGCUAUUUUACCGGCGUCGGUAAAAUUUGCGGGAAUAAUUUCGCUUCAUUCUGGGUAGCUUUAUAUCUUUAUCUAUUGCAUUCUAUAUAUUAUUCUAUAUAGUUUAUUUAACGAAUCAAAAACUGGGCAAUAUUAUGAUUAUAUAAAUAAAUGAUUAAAAAAAAAAAAACCGAAAAAAAGCAUUUUGAAUAUUUGCGCUAAAAGUUGCAAAUCAGUGCAAUUUAAGCAAAUUAAAAAAUUUAUUAAUUUUAAAUUUAUACUGAAUUUUCAGGGAUAUAAAUAGUUUAAACUUUAUAAUAAGUAGGUUUAUUAAUUACAUAUUAAAAAUAAUUUUUAAUUAAUUAUAUAUUUAAAUAUUAAUUUAAUUAAAAAUAGUUAAAGUUUUGAAUCAAUUUGAUUUUAUAUGUAAAAUUUAUUUAAUAUUGGAAUUGUUUACACUUAAAAUAAUUUUAUAUUUAAUUAUGUAAUUUUAAUAGUUAACCAGUUUAAAAUAAAAUUAUAAUUAAUAUAUUAGAAAAAUUUAAAUAAAAAUUAUUUAAUUAUUAUACGAAAAUUUAUAUUUAAAAUUAAUUGUAUUUAUUAUAUAUCCAAUAUAUAUAUGAGUAUAUAAAAUUCUAGUAUAGGAACUUUAACAUUUUUCGACAUAAUUGUAAUGUAUAGUAAUUAUAUAAAUGCUUUUUUCUUUUAAAUAUUGUUCAUUAUAAUCGUGAUGGACGGAGAAAUGAUAGAUAAAAGUGUGAAAAACAAACAAGUCAAUAGUUUUAAUUGGGAGUUUGUUUCUAAGGUUGGAGGAAAUGCCACGUAUGUGACAUAAUAUUCAAUUAAAAAAUUUAACCCCUUUUUUUUCUUGCUUAUGCGAGAUAUUAUUUUCAUUUCAUUAUAUAAUGAAAUUUUACUUAAAUUUAUAUGUAAAAUUCAUAUUGGUCUAAUUGUAUUAUAAACACAAAUUUUUUUCUAUAAAUAUUCUACAUUUAUUCAGAUAAAAUGUAAUUUAAAAUUCGUAAAAAAGAAAUGAUAUUGAAAUUCAUCUGAAUACAUUUGUAUAACAAAAUUAUAUAUUUAUUAAUAUAUUUAUAUUAGUUCAAUUUGAUACAAUAUUGCAUUUGCUUUUGUGACGUGACGUGUUUUUUAUUUAACAUUUGACAUUCUUAUUGCACUAUUCAAUUUCUGUCUUGAAAAUUUUGAAAACUUCAAUUCGUAUUGAAUUUUUUUAUAAAACAUUCAAGAAUAUUGUUCGAUUUGUUGACAAAAUAAAAGUUUUUUUAAUUUUUUAUAUUUAAAUUUUGUUAUAUUUAAAGUUUCGAAUAUUUUGAUAAAUGAUAAUAUAAUUUGCUUUACAAAAUAUUAUUUUUAUGUUUUAUUGCAUUCUAAAUGUCUGAAAAAAUUAAUAUUUCUAAUAAUUUUAAAUAAUUUUUCUUUACGAAUAUUUUUAUAUUGUAUAUAGAAGCUUAUUUUGUGAAAACUAUGAAAAUUGUUCAAAAUUUUGAUUUUAAUAAAUAAAAUAAGGAAUUUGAGAAAAAAUGUGGAAGAAGAUUGCAUAUUGAAAAAAUCAAGAAAAAGUUUUUUGAAAAAAUUUAUUGAAAGUAUUACCAAUAAUGCUCGAUUUUCUUAAAAACAUAAAUUCUUUUUUGUAUAUAAUUUUUAUGUUUAAUUAUUUUUAAUUGGUUAUUUUGUUAUUUAUUUUAUUUUUUUUUUUCUAAACAGCGAACAGUUAAACGUAUAUUUUUUUUUCUUUUUUGUAUUUUUUUAUUACUAGCAUAACUAUAAUAUUUGUUUUUUUUUUGUUUUUGUAAGUUGCAUCCUGCAAAUUGCUCUUGAGACCAUCAAUUUUAUUCUUUUCUUUUAUUUUAUUUUUAAAAUAUUGUUUUUGAAUAACUAUUUUGCAUUUUAUUACAAUGUAAGAAUUUAUGUAUGAAUAUGACUAUUUUUUUGUUUUGUUGUAAUGUGUCGGUGUUUUAUUUAUUUUUUUUUAUUUUUAUAAGAGUAUGUGUUUUAUAAGUGUGUUUUAUUAAUGUUUAAUUAAAAUACUCAAUAAUAUAACAAUAUGUGUAUCAAUUUUUUCUUUAAUAUAAAAAAGUUCGUUAAUCACCAAAAUAGUAAAAAAAUUUUUUUUACGUUUUUUUUUGCUUAAAUUUUUUUUUUUUGUUGGAAAUGAAUUAAUAUAAUUUUUUUAUAUUUAUAAUUCUAUAUGCAAUAUUUUAGUGCAUAUAUACAUGUGUAUGGAUAUGUGUAUACAUAUAUACAAAUCCAUAUAUAUAUUCCGCAAAAACACCAUAUUUAUGUACAUAUGCGCCAUCUAUUAAUUAAAUUUCACUUUCAAUUUUCUAUUCUUUAGACAAAAUUACAGGGAUGUUGCUUUUUCAAAUUGGUAGUAAUUACUUUUGAAAGAAAUGACACUUCGGGAAUGUCUGUUAAGGUGUUUUUCUAUUUCUAUUGGAAAAAAUGUGUAAAACACGAAAUUUUAUUUUAUAAAAAUAAAAUUUGAAGAAUAACGCUAUCAAAAACUCAAAUAAUUUUUUGAAAAAAACGUAUUUUAUAGUAUAUUUGCAAUUGUAAUAGUAUUUGUUUAUAGUCAUAUUUAUACCAAUAUAUAUGUAUUAUAUAUAUGUAUACACAUGUAUACUGCCUGCAUAUAUUAUAUAUAAGUACGAAUUGUUGUAGUUUUUUUUUAAUAGUUAUAUAAUAAUGUAUAGCCCUAAAGAAAAUUAAAAUAAUUUUUCUUUUUUUAUUUAUAAUUUUUUGUAUCGUAAUAUUGUUAUACAUUUUUAGUAAGUUUUACUCUUUAUAUCUUAACAUUUUUGUAUUAUGGUAUCUUUUUAUUACUUAUUUAUAUAUUUUAUCAAAUUAAUUUUUUUUUUUGUUAUUUUAUACAUAUAUGUUAUAUUUAUUUAUAACUUUCACGUUUUGCAUUUAUAUAUUUUUUUAUUUAUAAUUUUUAAAGACUAUUUUAGUAUAAUUUGUCAAUUUACAAACUUAUCUUGUUUAUUUUGUAAUUAUAUAUGUUUUUAAUAUUCAUAUUAUGAAUAUACUCGUAUGUGUUUUUCUUUCUUUAUUUUUUUUUGGUAUACGCAUAAAGCAUAUUUUGUGAUUACUAUGUUUAAAUGUAAUUAUAUUCUCUAUUUAUAUAUAUAUAUAUAUAUAUAUAUUUAUAUAGAUAUAUAUAUAUUUAUUCAUUUAUAUUAAUUUAUUAUAUGUAUUAUUAUAUUUUUAAUAAUAAAUAUGUAUUAAUUAAUUUGUUUUAGAAUUUCAGAAUUUCAUGUUGUUUUGUUUGUUUGUUUUUAUACUUUUUUCUUUUUUUGAAUUUUUUUUUUGAAUUUUUGUUUUUAAUAUAAAUUUUAUUCUAAAUUUUUAAUUUAAUAUUUUAUUACAUUAUAUAUAAUAUAUUUUUCUCUCUUAAAAAAAACUAAAUUAUAAAUAAAAACGAAUUUUACACAAGUAUAACAAAAUAAAGUAUAUUCAUAGUAUAUAUGUAUAAUUUUUUUUACUUACUUUUAUACUUAUUUAAUGUUUUUUUUGUUUAGAAUUUUUGUGUUUUGCAAAUUUUCUUAAGUAAAAAGAAAAUUUUGUUGCUUUCAAUUGAUAAGCUCAUUUUUGUCACUUACAUAAUUUUAUUUUAUUUUUUUGUUUCUAUGUUUUGUUAAAUUAUUUUUUUUUAUUUUAAUUUUAUAUAUUUUUUUUAUAUAUAAAUGGUUAUUUUAGUAUAUCACUUUCAUUUUUAAUGUUUCUGCUUUUAAUAUACGGGAUAAAAUUUUUUCAUAUGCACAAGAGUUGCGGUUUUAACAAUCUCUACAUUUUUUAUAUAUAUGUAUAAUGUAGUAAACAUAUUUUAUAUGUUUAUAAUAGUGUUUCAUUUUUGAUUUUUUGUUUUUUUUUUUGUAAUAGAAUACAUAUUAUAAACUAUUGAGCAUAUUUUUAUUCACAUAUUAUAAAUUCGAUAUAAAUUUUAUAUGCGUAUAUUGUUAUAUUAUAAUUAUAACAUUUAUAUAAUAUUUUGUAAUAUUAUGAUAGAAUAUAUUGAAUAUAUUAUAUCAUUUUUAUGUUAUACAUAUAGAAGUUUAUACUUGCGGAAUUUGUUUUUGAUCUAAUCUUAUACAUACAUAUAUUAUGCAUUUUAAUAUAGGUUAAAAUAUGAAUUAUAUUAAAUAAUAAUGUACUGUGACCCAUUCCCCAGUGACCAAUUAUAAGUGGUAUUAAUUUUUAUGUAAGAUCGAAAAAUAUCGAUUUUCGAAUUUAGAAUAUAUGUUUUAAAUAGAACUUCGUUAGCUAUAUAUUUUGACAAAAGACAUUCUUGUAUGAAAUUAUUUUUUUUAUAUGGAAGUCAGUUUGCUUAUUAUAUUCAAUGUUUAAAAUUAUAUCGACCACACAAAUUAAUUGCCAAUAAAUUAAUCCGCAUUUUAAAUUUAUUAUAUUAUUAGGGACAAUAUUUGGUUUUUGAAUAUUCCGUUUUUCACUUAUGCAAUUUAUUUUUCCAUUUUAUGUUUUAGUACUUGUUAUUUUAUAUAACAUAUAUUUAUACAUUGUUUAUUAUUUAUAUUUAAAAUAAUAAAAUUAUAUAUACGCUUUGAAAGUUUUUAAUUAAAUUUAUUCAUUUUAAUAAUUAAAAGUAAAUAAUAAGGAAAUACAAUUUUGCUAUAUUACGUUAAUUUAUAUUUAAACUUUUUUAAUUUAUAAAAUUUUUAAAUUAUUUAAUUGAAUUAAAAGAGAUUGAAUUGCUAGAAAAUUUAUAUGUAGUUUAUUAUCAAAUGGCAACACCUUCUAUGUAACUUACUUGGAAUGAAGAUUAUUCUUUAUUAUUUCAAAAUUACAUUUCGUUAUUUUUUGUAGUAUCUUUAUGAAUACACAGUUUGACAAUUAAUUUUUUGAAUAAAAUUUUGUUAAAACUAAAUGUGAUAAAUUUUUAAAUACUAUUGCGCUAUUACAUCUACAAAUUAAUAUGUAUGUAUAUGGAUAUGUAAAUAAUUAUCUCCUAAUAUAUACAUCAUGUUUAUAGAAUAUGUACAUAUGCAUAUACAUAUGUACCCAUGUGUAUAUAUAUGGAUGAGAAAAUAUAAUUUUUUUAAUCGAAAAUGUUUGUUUUUAAAAAUAUUUUCAAUAUUUUUGAAAGUUGAAUUUAAAUAUUAUGUAACUGUACAGGAAUAAUAAUAAAAUAAUUUUAAUUUUCAAUUAUAAAACAUGUCCUAUAUUAAAUGUCAUAUCUUGAUUUGUAAGCAACAACAAAAUUAUAGUACAAAGUUUGGGACCCUUGCGGUAAUUUUUUGAAAUUAGAUAAUAAUUUGCAAUUACACAAAUUAUUCUUUAGGUAUAUUGUUGUGGCAAAUAUAUAACACCUAACUAUAUUAUAUAUAUAUAAAUAUAAUAUAAAAAUAAUAUGUUAAUAAUAUGUGAAAUAUUUAUGUGUAUACUCGUAUAGCGCCUAGUUAAUUAUUAUAUAUUAUAUAAUGUAUUUAUAAGUCUUGAUUUCAAAACUACAGUAAUACGAUAUUAAUACUUAUUUCAGAUUAAUAUCUGUAUCAAAAAAAUUUUCCUGAAACUUUCAAAUCAAUUACUUCGUUUACAUGGCGGAAAUUUUAAUCUGCUAGUAUACUGUAAUGUACAUUACAAAAACAUCAACUUGAAAUCGACUUCGGUUUCACAAACAUUAGCUGACAAUCAUUACGAGUAUAUAUAUUUGUUUAUAAUUUUCAAUCUUUCAAUUUGUACAGUCGCUUUUCAAGUCAUGCUAGUAAUUUUGUCGGAUCGAUUUGACUUGAAAAUUUCAAGUUAAGAAGCGUUUAUAUGAGUUAAAAAUCUGCUUGAAGUCGGCUUCAAAUUGCAUACAAACGCAGUAAAUGAAGAUGAACAGUAUAAGUAUGUGUGAAUAUAUGUAUAUUUGUUUCAAUAAAAAGUAUUUCCUUUAUUUUUGCUUUUAUUAUAAAUUGGAAGACAAAAGAAAAUCAUGCGUUGUUGUGCAAGUUUAAUAUUUAUUAAAAAAAGGUUAUUUAAUAUUAAUUUUAUAUUGAUAUAGUAACAUGAUAUAUAUAUACAUAGUUAGUUUUUUAUAGAUUCGUUUAAUAUAUGUAUGUAUAUAUUUAAAAUUGCAUAUUAUAAUUAAGAUAAUAUACAAAUUUACCCGUUCAACGGUUCCAGAUUAAGCCCUAUUUCUUUUUUGCAUAUUAAAAAAGUUUUGUUAAAUAAUUAAAAUUUUAUAUUCUUUUUUUUUGAUGAAGAGUAUAGGUUAAGUGUUUUUUGAGAAAGAAUUAUGUCUUAGAGUUUUCUUAUAUGUACAUACAUAUAAACAAUAUAUUCUAAUAUAUGUAUACUGUGAAUUGGAGAAGAAAUUUUGCUGAAGUUUUAAGUUGAAUCUAAGACAUUUUAAUUAGAAAGCUUAAAAGCUUUUGUAGUGUUACUUGACUUAAAUCAUAUGUCAACAUCAUAUGUCAUGUAAGGAGCUAUUUUUAUUGCAUUUUAAUUACAAAACAUUUAAUUUUUCUAGUAUAUUUUAAUUUCAUUUGGGAAUAUUAAAUGUACAGUAAAAAUUUGAGUCAAAUUCGAAAGAAAUUGUGAAUCAUUCGAAUGGAAAGUUAAUAAGUCAUUCAGCAAAUUAUUAGAAAUUAAUAAAUUGAAUUUAUUUUGUUUUUAACUUGCAAUUUGAAAAGAAUAAAAUGGUAGACAGAAUUUUGUAAAAUUUUAUGUAAGUGCAUAAUAUCAUGUGAAUGGCAGAAAACACACUUUGAAAUUUUAGUUUUAAUUUGAAAAUAGAGAGAAAUUUUUAGUAUACAAAAUAUGCCAAUUCAUAUAAUUUAGAAGGGUUAUAUUAAAAGUACGUGUAGGGCUCAUAUAAGCAUUUAAAAUACUGUAUAUGGAUUAUACAUUUAAUAUUUCUGUCAAAAUGGAACUCAAGACAUUUUCUGUCCAAAUGGAAAGCAGUUUACUGAAGUAUGUAUAUAUUUAUAUAUUAUACACUUAUAUACGCUUUACUAUAUUCAAAUA